rnacentral:rRNA from 1 species
UAGAUAAGAUAUAAGUCGUAACAUGGCUGCUGUUGGAGAACCAGCAGCAGGAUCAGUAU